rnacentral:lncRNA from 1 species
UUGCUAAAUCAUAAGUAUUACAAAUCUAAGCCUCAAUGUAUGUAGCUCGAACUCUUUGAGAAUGUCGAUGUUCGAGAGGAGUAUGGUAAUAUUUUUGAAAGUCUAAGCAACAUAGACCUCGAUUUACUGAGGGUCUAUUGAAAAUAGCCUUUUUUUUCAUAAUGGAAAGUGAGGUUACACUGGGUUGUUGUUGCUACAGUUAGGAAAGUG